rnacentral:rRNA from 1 species
AUACGGAGGGUGCAAGCGUUGUUCGGAAUCACUGGGCGUAAAGGGCGCGCAGGCGGUUUGUUAAGUCAGAUGUGAAAGCCCACGGCUCAACCGUGGAAGUGCAUUUGAAACUGGCAGACUUGAGUACCGGAGGGGGAAGUGGAAUUCCCGGUGUAGAGGUGAAAUUCGUAGAUAUCGGGAGGAAUACCGGUGGCGAAGGCGACUUCCUGGCUGGAUACUGACGCUGAGGCGCGAAAGCGUGGGGAGCAAACAGAAUUAGAUACCCUAGUAGUCC